CUUUUUACAUACACGUCAAUAAUAAUAAUUUAAACCCACAGCUGACAAUAUUUCUUUCAGAUGAUGACGAUGAUGAUGAUUAUCAUGAAGGAUCCAUUUGUUCAUUGUGUGCCCACUGUGAGCAUUGUGACAGCUGUGAUAAGUGCCCAUGCAAAAAGGGAGACGACUCUGAACACUGCGACUUCUGUGAUGACUGUGGAAAGUGCUACAUCUGUCCUGUUUGUGAGACCGUCUGCAAGCCAGGUGGCUUUGUUGACUCUGUUUCUGGAUCCAUCUAUAAGACUGUCGCAGACGUCUUUAAUGAUGAUGACGACGACGACGACGACGACAACUAAACCCGUUUGUCACCACCAUGUGGCCAAAAGAGGAACGUGCAACUGCGUUUCACAGAUUUCAGGAUUUACAUUGUAGCGUUGUUCAUUGUCGUUAAGUUUCUCUCUCUCUCUCUCUCUCUCUCUCUCUGUCUCUCUCUCUCUUAAUGUUAUCACAUCACACGCUACAGUCUGGUCAAUAAAUACAUACACGUGGAACUUAAAUAAUUUCAUUAUCUUAAAUUAAAUGUAUUUAAUUGAACAACAUUUCCCUUUUAAACAGUCUUGUUAUUAACAUAUGAUAUGAAAUGUAAUUGCAAACCUGACUGUGUUGUUUUGAGACUACUUAUGGAAUAAAAUGAGGGAACGUUUUAUUUAUGUGUGUAAGUCUAAUAAUAUUUUAAAAAUACUUUUAAAAACAUAUCAGUGUAGACAGAGUAUAAUUGUAUGCAGUGUUGGGAAGGUUACUUUGGAAAUGUAAUAGGUUACAGAUUACAAGUUACCCUAUUUAAAAUGUAAUAAGUAGUGUAACUAUUUCAGUUACUUUAUUAAAGUAAUGUAACUGAUUACAUUUGAUUACUUUUUGAUUACUUUUCUAAAUUUCUAAUGUUUUCAACUGUUUAUUAUUUUGAAACAUUUAAAGCAGGCAGGGUUAACCUUACAGUGGUACGCAACACUGAUUACUGUCAGACUUUCAGAAUCCUUCGUCACUUGAAUUAAGAUUAUAAUAAUUUAAUUGUAAUGCACAGCCACCUCAAAAUCAGACUUUAGCACCUCUUUUUACUUUGAGAUCUUUUUGAGGUUAAAUACAGAUUUAAAAUCAUAAGAUAUACUUUCAUAGUUAUGAUACUGUUUUUGAAAUCAAAUUUUUGCAUAGCUAUGACAGGAAACACUAGCAUCUAACAAUGCCUUGGAAAAAAAAAAUCAUAUACAUAAACCAAAAUAGGAAAUAAAACAGUUAUCGAAUAAGCAUGUGUCCUAUUCUGUGUCCUCAACUCCUGAAACAUUGGUGUCUCAUAUUUUAAAUCUGUAUGUGUGCGGAAAUAUUCAGAUGCAACCCCCUUUGUAAUCAUUAACAUUUUCAUAAGUAACUGUAAUUUAAUUACACAUUUGUUUCUCAGUAACUGUAACAGAUUACAGUUACAUUUAUUUUGUAAUUAAAUUACGUAAUUAGUUACAUGUAACUAGUUACUCCCCAACAUUGAUUGUAUGUGAGGGAUGCCCUUACUGUCUCUGUUGAAUUGAAUAGGUUGUGAUGUUUUUCACUUUUCUGUCAAUUUUUCAGCUGACGAAACAUGAUUUCCAAACAUUUGUGAUAUGAAAUGUGGCCUUAAAGGGAUAUACAUACAAAAAAGAAAACUGUGUCAUCGUUUAAUCACCAUCAUGUUGUUUCAAACUUGUGAUUUUCUUGUAUGAUUUUCUUUCUUAAGCAGAAAACAAAAGGAAAAGUUCUGUACUAGCAGAAGCGGGCCUUAAGAUAUUUGAGGUCCAAUGGUAAAAGUAUGCUAAUAAGAACAUAGCCUAACUAGUGCACUAAAUAGGUUAUUCACACUAUAUAAUAUACCAUUAGACUCUCUGUAUUACGUGGUUAUCAUGACACGAGUCAAUAAACAAUAAUGUUAAACAGUUUGUUUGACCAUUGUCCAUGUCAACGUUCAGGUACUUUAUGUCUCCUUUUGCUAUUUUCACACAAAUGCGAGCCGCUUAUUGUCAUUCUAUCCUGCAACUUUAGAUGAUUAGCAACCAUCUGUAGUAAAGAGGCCUUGGGGGAAUAACGUAAUGAGUGAGCAUCCUUUUCAUAAAAGACUAGAACAGGUAAAAGACACAAAGCUGGGAGGAUGAACAUAAAAAAGAGGCUAGUUAUAGUUAUUGUCUUUGACAUGAACUAAGUUAUCAACUAAAGGCCUGUUAAUGGCCGACGGUGUGCAUCGGCUUUAACUUUUAUUAUUUAAACACUGUACUAGAUAAAUUGCUUUCUACAAUGUACUAUUUUGUAGCAGAAGCUCUACUAUAAUCUAGAUGUAAUAAACGAUUUAAAUUCAAA
ensembl:lncRNA